UUCCGGAUAAUCGAAAUUUCGUAU
rnacentral:snRNA from 1 species